rnacentral:tRNA from 1 species
GGGCACACUCACGCGUCUUACCUGCAACCCUCCAAGUCGAGAGGCUGCUCUUACAAAGCAGAUGUCGGCGGUUCGAAACCGUCCGCGCCCACCA